UACGUAGGGCGCAAGCGUUGUCCGGAAUUAUUGGGCGUAAAGCGCGUGUAGGCGGCUCGAUAAGUCUGCUGUGAAAGUCCAGGGCUCAACCCUGGAAUGCCGGUGGAAACUGUCGAGCUAGAGUCCGGAAGAGGCGAGUGGAAUUCCUGGUGUAGCGGUGAAAUGCGCAGAUAUCAGGAGGAACACCAAUGGCGAAGGCAGCUCGCUGGGACGGUACUGACGCUGAGACGCAAAAGCGUGGGGAGCAAACAGG
rnacentral:rRNA from 1 species